GGCUUGUUGAAAAUAAUUUCAGGUCUGACCUGCCCAAUGAUGUUUAUUAAAUGGCCGCAGUAUAUUGACUGUGCAAAGGUAGCAUAAUCAUUAGUUUCUUAAUUGGAAACUGGAAUGAAAGGUUUGAUGAGAAGAUAUCUGUCUCUAGAAAAAUUUAUUAGAAUUUUAUUUUUGAGUAAAAAAGCUUAAAUGUUCAUAGAAGACGAGAAGACCCUAUAGAGUUUAAUAUUUUUGAGGGACUUAUAAUUUUAGAAAAGAAGGGCUGUAAGUUGUUUAAAAGUAUUUUGUUGGGGUGAUAAAAAAAUUUGAUUAACUUUUUUUUAUUAUUUAACACUAAUUUGUGAUUCAAUGAUCCUAUAUUUUAGAUUAUAAGAUAAAAUUACCUUAGGGAUAACAGCGUAAUUUUUUUAAGAGUUCUUAUCGGAAGAAAAGAUUGCGACCUCGAUGUUGGAUUAAAAUUAAUUUUUGGUGCAGAAGCUAAAAAAUUUGGUCUGUUCGACCAUUAAAAUUUUACAUGAUCUGAGUUUAAACCGGUGUGAG
rnacentral:rRNA from 1 species